UACGUAGGGGGCAAGCGUUGUCCGGAUUUAUUGGGCGUAAAGAGCGUGUAGGCGGCUAGAUAGGUCCGUUGUGAAAACUCGAGGCUCAACCUCGAGACGUCGAUGGAAACCAUCUGGCUAGAGUCCGGAAGAGGAGAGUGGAAUUCCUGGUGUAGCGGUGAAAUGCGUCAGAUAUCAGGAGGAACACCCUGUGGUGAGUGAG
rnacentral:rRNA from 1 species